rnacentral:rRNA from 1 species
UUGAACGCUGGCGGCAGGCCUAACACAUGCAAGUCGAGCGGUAGCACAGAGAGCUUGCUCUCGGGUGACGAGCGGCGGACGGGUGAGUAAUGUCUGGGAAACUGCCUGAUGGAGGGGGAUAACUACUGGAAACGGUAGCUAAUACCGCAUAACGUCGCAAGACCAAAGUGGGGGACCUUCGGGCCUCAUGCCAUCAGAUGUGCCCAGAUGGGAUUAGCUAGUAGGUGGGGUAACGGCUCACCUAGGCGACGAUCCCUAGCUGGUCUGAGAGGAUGACCAGCCACACUGGAACUGAGACACGGUCCAGACUCCUACGGGAGGCAGCAGUGGGGAAUAUUGCACAAUGGGCGCAAGCCUGAUGCAGCCAUGCCGCGUGUGUGAAGAAGGCCUUCGGGUUGUAAAGCACUUUCAGCGGGGAGGAAGGCGGUGAGGUUAAUAACCUCACCGAUUGACGUUACCCGCAGAAGAAGCACCGGCUAACUCCGUGCCAGCAGCCGCGGUAUUACGGAGGGUGCAAGCGUUAAUCGGAAUUACUGGGCGUAAAGCGCACGCAGGCGGUCUGUCAAGUCGGAUGUGAAAUCCCCGGGCUCAACCUGGGAACUGCAUUCGAAACUGGCAGGCUAGAGUCUUGUAGAGGGGGGUAGAAUUCCAGGUGUAGCGGUGAAAUGCGUAGAGAUCUGGAGGAAUACCGGUGGCGAAGGCGGCCCCCUGGACAAAGACUGACGCUCAGGUGCGAAAGCGUGGGGAGCAAACAGGAUUAGAUACCCUGGUAGUCCACGCCGUAAACGAUGUCGAUUUGGAGGUUGUGCCCUUGAGGCGUGGCUUCCGGAGCUAACGCGUUAAAUCGACCGCCUGGGGAGUACGGCCGCAAGGUUAAAACUCAAAUGAAUUGACGGGGGCCCGCACAAGCGGUGGAGCAUGUGGUUUAAUUCGAUGCAACGCGAAGAACCUUACCUGGUCUUGACAUCCACAGAACUUUCCAGAGAUGGAUUGGUGCCUUCGGGAACUGUGAGACAGGUGCUGCAUGGCUGUCGUCAGCUCGUGUUGUGAAAUGUUGGGUUAAGUCCCGCAACGAGCGCAACCCUUAUCCUUUGUUGCCAGCGGUUAGGCCGGGAACUCAAAGGAGACUGCCAGUGAUAAACUGGAGGAAGGUGGGGAUGACGUCAAGUCAUCAUGGCCCUUACGACCAGGGCUACACACGUGCUACAAUGGCAUAUACAAAGAGAAGCGACCUCGCGAGAGCAAGCGGACCUCAUAAAGUAUGUCGUAGUCCGGAUUGGAGUCUGCAACUCGACUCCAUGAAGUCGGAAUCGCUAGUAAUCGUAGAUCAGAAUGCUACGGUGAAUACGUUCCCGGGCCUUGUACACACCGCCCGUCACACCAUGGGAGUGGGUUGCAAAAGAAGUAGGUAGCUUAACCUUCGGGAGGGCGCUUACCACUUUGUGAUUCAUGACUGGGGUG